GACGAACGCUGGCGGCGUGCUUAACACAUGCAAGUCGAACGGAAAGGCCCUGCUUUUGUGGGGUGCUCGAGUGGCGAACGGGUGAGUAACACGUGAGUAACCUGCCCUUGACUUUGGGAUAACUUCAGGAAACUGGGGCUAAUACCGGAUAGGAGCUCCUGCUGCAUGGUGGGGGUUGGAAAGUUUCGGCGGUUGGGGAUGGACUCGCGGCUUAUCAGCUUGUUGGUGGGGUAGUGGCUUACCAAGGCUUUGACGGGUAGCCGGCCUGAGAGGGUGACCGGGGACAUUGGGACUGAGAUACGGCCCAGACUCCUACGGGAGGCAGCAGGGGGGAAUAUUGCACAAUGGGCGGAAGCCUGAUGCAGCAACGCCGCGUGCGGGAUGACGGCCUUCGGGUUGUAAACCGCUUUCGCCUGUGACGAAGCGUGAGUGACGGUAAUGGGUAAAGAAGCACCGGCUAACUACGUG
rnacentral:rRNA from 1 species